rnacentral:rRNA from 1 species
GAUGAACGCUGGCGGCGUGCCUAAUACAUGCAAGUCGAGCGAACAGAUGAGGAUCUUGCUCCUCUGACGUUAGCGGCGGACGGGUGAGUAACACGUGGAUAACCUACCUAUAAGACUGGGAUAACUUCGGGAAACCGGAGCUAAUACCGGAUAAUAUAUUGAACCGCAUGGUUCAAUAGUGAAAGACGGUUUUGCUGUCACUUAUAGAUGGAUCCGCGCCGCAUUAGCUAGGUGGUAAGGUAACGGCUUACCAAGGCAACGAUGCGUAGCCGACCUGAGAGGGUGAUCGGCCAAACUGGAACUGAGACACGGUCCAGACUCCUAAGGGAGGCAGCAGUAGGGAAUCUUCCGAAAUGGGCGAAAGCCUGACGGAGCAACGCCGCGUGAGUGAUGAAGGUCUUCGGAUCGUAAAACUCUGUUAUUAGGGAAGAACAAAUGUGUAAGUAACUAUGCACGUCUUGACGGUACCUAAUCAGAAAGCCACGGCUAAAUACGUG